UACGAAGGGGGCUAGCGUUGUUCGGAAUUACUGGGCGUAAAGCGCGCGUAGGCGGCGCAGCAAGUCAGGGGUGAAAUCCCAGAGCUUAACUCUGGAACUGCCUUUGAAACUGCUGUGCUGGAAUCUCAGAGGGGAUAGCGGAAUUCCAAAUGUAGGGGUGAAAUCCGUAGAUAUUUGGAGGAACACCGGUGGCGAAGGCGGCUAUCUGGAUGAGUAUUGACGCUGAGGCGCGAAAGCGUGGGGAUCAAACAGG
rnacentral:rRNA from 1 species